AAUCCAUAGGUUAAUGAGGCGAACCGGGGGAACUGAAACAUCUAAGUACCCCGAGGAAAAGAAAUCAACCGAGAUUCCCCCAGUAGCGGCGAGCGAACGGGGAGGAGCCCAGAGCCUGAAUCAGCAUGUGUGUUAGUGGAAGCGUCUGGAAAGGCGCGCGAUACAGGGUGACAGCCCCGUACACAAAAGCGCAUGUGCUGUGAGCUCGAUGAGUAGGGCGGGACACGUGGUAUCCUGUCUGAAUAUGGGGGGACCAUCCUCCAAGGCUAAAUACUCCUGACUGACCGAUAGUGAACCAGUACCGUGAGGGAAAGGCGAAAAGAACCCCGGCGAGGGGAGUGAAAAAGAACCUGAAACCGUGUACGUACAAGCAGUGGGAGCCCCACCACCAAAGCAUUUGCUGUACCGCGUUGACGGAGCGAAGCGACGUCAAACCGAUAAAACAGCAGUGUAAAGUGAGCCGCAGGGCGCUUUGCGCGACAGCGCAAAGGCAGGCGGUUUCGCGUAGCGAAAGCGAAUGCUUUGGGGUGGGGUGACUGCGUACCUUUUGUAUAAUGGGUCAGCGACUUAUAUUCUGUAGCAAGGUUAACCGAAUAGGGGAGCCGGAGGGAAACCGAGUCUUAAUUGGGCGUUAAGUUGCAGGGUAUAGACCCGAAACCCGGUGAUCUAGCCAUGGGCAGGUUGAAGGUUGGGUAACACUAACUGGAGGACCGAACCGACUAAUGUUGAAAAAUUAGCGGAUGACCUGUGGCUGGGGGUGAAAGGCCAAUCAAACCGGGAGAUAGCUGGUUCUCCCCGAAAGCUAUUUAGGUAGCGCCUCGUGAAUUCAUCUCCGGGGGUAGAGCACUGUUUCGGCUAGGGGGCCAUCCCGGCUUACCAACCCGAUGCAAACUGCGAAUACCGGAGAAUGUUAUCACGGGAGACACACGGCGGGUGCUAACGUCCGUCGUGAAGAGGGAAACAACCCAGACCGCCAGCUAAGGUCCCAAAGUCAUGGUUAAGUGGGAAACGAUGUGGGAAGGCCCAGACAGCCAGGAUGUUGGCUUAGAAGCAGCCAUCAUUUAAAGAAAGCGUAAUAGCUCACUGGUCGAGUCGGCCUGCGCGGAAGAUGUAACGGGGCUAAACCAUGCACCGAAGCUGCGGCAGCGACACUGUGUGUUGUUGGGUAGGGGAGCGUUCUGUAAGCCUGUGAAGGUGUGUCGUGAGGCAUGCUGGAGGUAUCAGAAGUGCGAAUGCUGACAUAAGUAACGAUAAAGCGGGUGAAAAGCCCGCUCGCCGGAAGACCAAGGGUUCCUGUCCAACGUUAAUCGGGGCAGGGUGAGUCGACCCCUAAGGCGAGGCCGAAAGGCGUAGUCGAUGGGAAACGGGUUAAUAUUCCCGUACUUGGUGUUACUGCGAAGGGGGGACGGAGAAGGCUAUGUUGGCCGGGCGACGGUUGUCCCGGUUUAAGCGUGUAGGUGUGUGUUCCAGGUAAAUCCGGUUCACUUUAACACUGAGGCGUGA
rnacentral:rRNA from 1 species